GGAAGAGAGGAGGGGGAGAGAGAGGGAGGGAGGAGGAGCGAGUAGUGGGGAAGAGAGGAGGGGGAGAGAGAGGGAGGGAGGAGGAGCGAGUAGUGGGGAAGAGAGGAGGGGGAGAGAGAGGGAGGGAGGAGGAGCGAGUAGUGGGGUAGAGAGGAGGGGGAGAGAGAGGGAGGGAGGAGGAGCGAGUAGUGGGGAAGAGAGAGGGGGGGAGAGAGAGGGAGGGAGGAGGAGCGAGUAGUGGGGAAGAGAGGAGGGGGAGAGAGAGGGAGGGAGGAGGAGCGAGUAGUGGGGAAGAGAGGAGGGGGAGAGAGAGGGAGGGAGGAGGAGAGAGUAGUGGGGUAGAGAGGAGGGG
ensembl:lncRNA